UACGUAGGGGGCAAGCGUUGUCCGGAAUUAUUGGGCGUAAAGAGCUCGUAGGCGGUUUGUCGCGUCGUCUGUGAAAACCAGCAGCUCAACUGCUGGCUUGCAGGCGAUACGGGCAGACUUGAGUACUGCAGGGGAGACUGGAAUUCCUGGUGUAGCGGUGAAAUGCGCAGAUAUCAGGAGGAACACCGGUGGCGAAGGCGGGUCUCUGGGCAGUAACUGACGCUCAUGCACGAAAGCGUGGGGAGCAAACAGG
rnacentral:rRNA from 1 species